GACGAACGCUGGCGGCGUGCCUAAUACAUGCAAGUGGGACGCAAGGAAACACACUGUGCUUGCACACCGUGUUUUCUUGAGUCGCGAACGGGUGAGUAACGCGUAGGUAACCUGCCUAUUAGCGGGGGAUAACUAUUGGAAACGAUAGCUAAUACCGCAUAAUAUUAAUUAUUGCAUGAUAAUUGAUUGAAAGAUGCAAGCGCAUCACUAGUAGAUGGACCUGCGUUGUAUUAGCUAGUUGGUAAGGUAAGAGCUUACCAAGGCGACGAUACAUAGCCGACCUGAGAGGGUGAUCGGCCACACUGGGACUGAGACACGGCCCAGACUCCUACGGGAGGCAGCAGGAGGGAAUCGUCGGCAAUGGACGAAAGUCUGACCGAGCAACGCCGCGUGAGUGAAGAAGGUUUUCGGAUCGUAAAGCUCUGUUGUAAGUCAAGAACGUGUGUGAGAGUGGAAAGUUCACACAGUGACGGUAGCUUAUCAGAAAGGGACGGCUAACUACGUG
rnacentral:rRNA from 1 species